GACGAACGCUGGCGGCGUGCUUAACACAUGCAAGUCGAACGAAGUGGCGAACGGGUGAGUAACGCGUAAUCAACCUGCCCUUCAGAGGGGGACAACAGAUGGAAACGACGGCUAAUACCGCAUAAUGAAGGAGGGGAGUGAGUCUGAGUAGCUAGUUGGAGGGGUAACGGACCACCAAGGCGAUGAUCAGUAGCCGGGCUGAGAGUGUGACCCGCCACCUUGGGACUGGGACCCGGCCCCUACCCCUACGGGAGGCAGCAGGUGGGAAGCUUCCGACAUGGACGAAAGUCCUACGGAGCAACGCCGCGUGAGUGAUGACGGCCUUCGGGUUGUAAAGCGCUUUUAAUCGGUACGCGGUACCGGAAUAUAAAGCCACGGCUAACUACGUGCCAGCAGCCGCGGUAAUAC
rnacentral:rRNA from 1 species